rnacentral:rRNA from 1 species
AUUGAACGCUGGCGGAAUGCUUUACACAUGCAAGUCGAACGGCAGCACGGACUUCGGUCUGGUGGCGAGUGGCGAACGGGUGAGUAAUGUAUCGGAACGUGCCCAGUCGUGGGGGAUAACGUAGUGAAAAUUACGCUAAUACCGCAUACGAUCUAUGGAUGAAAGCGGGGGAUCGCAAGACCUUGCGCGAUUGGAGCGGCCGAUAUCAGAUUAGGUAGUUGGUGGGGUAAAGGCCCACCAAGCCAACGAUCUGUAGCUGGUCUGAGAGGACGACCAGCCACACUGGAACUGAGACACGGUCCAGACUCCUACGGGAGGCGGCAGUGGGGAAUUUUGGACAAUGGGCGAAAGCCUGAUCCAGCCAUUCCGCGUGCAGGAUGAAGGCCCUCGGGUUGCAAACUGCUUUUGUACAGAACGAAAAGGUUUCUACUAAUACUAGGAGCUCAUGACGGUACUGUAAGAAUAAGCACCGGCUAACUACGUGCCAGCCGCCGCCGUAA